CAGGAAAAAAUAAAGCAAAAGUGCCGACCUAUUGGGGGGCAAAAAAUAGUGGCUGUUCCAGAAGAACAAAUUGGGAAGCAGAUUGUGGCAGCAUCUGAAAUCUCAAUGAAACUGGGCAGCACUGCCAAGCUGGUGACCUACAAGCAAAGCCUUGCUGAACAUAGCACGGUCAGGAACCUUGUUAAACACUGGAUAUGGAUACAAAGAUGGCUACUGUAUAUCCUCCAAAAGAGGUCACCUCUAACUCACCCAAAUCAGUAUGUUACAGAUGCAACAGAAGAUAAAGAAGAGAUGAAUUUAAAAGCGUACAGAAGGAAAAGGAUUCGCCCCCAGACGGAUGCAGUACUACAAGCACGCAGAAUCAAGAGGAGUGGGAAGCCAUCCCAAGAAAUA